rnacentral:lncRNA from 1 species
ACCAGUGUUUAAUAAACCAGAAAGGCAGGAGAACCAGAAGAAUGGAGUACCCCCCAAGUCAAGGAAGGAGAACAUUUAAAGGUCAUGGUUGCUUUCUUCUUUUUGGAACACCCUGAUGUCAAAUGAUGCUUCAGGAAUCACAAAACCAAAGCAAGAAGGGAGGAUGUCCUCGUAUUGCUGCUGUAGAGCCGCAGCCUCCUGAACACAGGAAUCUCUGUUCACAACCUUCCUGGCACUGGCUGAGAAGGCAGUGAUCGCGCUGCUCAGUGACUCCAGGGCCUGGCAGAGAUCCUAAGAAGAGUGCGAGAAGAAUGCAGUGAAAGCACAGGAGCCAACGAGGCCUGCAUUUUUCUUUGACACCGAUCAUCGCAAAAUAUUUUCCCUCAGUCAUAAUAAACAGGAAUAGCACUAAGAAUGGGUACAAAUAUACAGUUUGAUAGAAG